rnacentral:misc_RNA from 1 species
GAAAUGCGAUAAGUAAUGUGAAUUGCAGAAUUCAGUGAAUCAUCGAAUCUUUGAACGCACAUUGCGCCCCUUGGUAUUCCGGGGGGCAUGCCUGUUCGAGCGUCAUUACAACCCUCAAGCUCUGCUUGGUAUUGGGUAUCACCUUUGGUGGUGUGCCCCAAAAUCAGUGGCGGUGCCAUCUGGCUCUAAGCGUAGUAACUUUCUCGCUAUGGAGUCCUCAUGGUCGCUUGCCAACAACCCCCAAUUCUUUCAGGUUGACCUCGGAUCAGGUAGGGAUACCCGCUGAACUUAA